rnacentral:lncRNA from 1 species
AUCUUCUUCCUGUUCUGCAAAUCUAUUUGUAAGGAUCUUGGCAGAUGUAAUCAAGUUGAGAUGAGAUCAUCUUGGAUUAGGGUGAGCCCUAAAUCCACUGACUUGGUGUCUUUGUAAGAGAAAGGAAAGCGAGAUUUGGAUGCAGACACAUAGAGAAGAACGUGAAGCUGUGAAGAAGCUGAUGUGCAGAUGGAGGCAAAGACGGGAGUGAUGGCAUCUAUAAGCCAAGGACCACCAAGAAUCGCUG